GCCUUCGGGGUGUAGUAGUCAGCACGCUCGACUCGUAACCGAGAAGACCGUGGCUCGAUUCCUGGCGAAGGCG
rfam:Stegodyphus mimosarum contig103169, whole genome shotgun sequence.